rnacentral:pre_miRNA from 8 species
UAUAAACUGACUGGGUAAUCUCUGCAGGCAACUGUGAUGUGAUUACAGUCUCACAUUGACCUGAAGAGGUUGAGCAGUCUGUUUAC